AGCGCGCAGGGAUCGCGUUGCCGAAGUUCCCCCUCUGUGUGCAUUAUGAGAAGCAGCGUUAAAAUAAAGAUUAAUUACACGGGGACAUUCCACGGAGCUGCCAUGCAGGCAGCGGCGCAUCUCUGACGGAGGAACAGCUGGCUCGCAUCCGUCUUCCCUGAGUCAGCUGUUCCAAAAAAGAAGUCCCAGUAGAUGAAGCAGCGGCUAAACUUUACGUAGAUCUCAUUUCAUCCAAAGUGCGAUAAUAUGAAACGUUAUUGACGUGACACAGCCCUCCCUGUUGCAUUGUGAGCGUAUGAAAGCGCGACAGGAGCGUCGUCUCGUCCUGUCUUCACCUUCCCGUCCGCGUGGCACGCGGCGAUGAAUGACAGAAGCUGAAUCGCACCACGUGACAGACGCGUCGCCCACAAAUCAAGGCCUCUGAUCGCGGGAGUAACCGUGGAAAAUGGAGCAAAGUGCAAACCUAGCGCAGCCCCGGAGCGCGAGCGCGCGCAUGUACGCGCGUGGGCGCCUGAUUAUCUCCGAGCUCAAGGUCGGCUGCUGAACAGAGCCCUGGGUCACGUUCUCCCCAUCCCACACUGCGCUGACAUCAUCCUCACACUUCCAUCCAUCCACACCUUGAAUUCACCCUCACCAGCGUCAGAUGAGCACUUCUUCUGCUUCUCGACCAGUGACAAACCAGUGGUUUGGUCCACUUCCUCCUGGAUGAGGACGUCAGGCUCCGAGAAGGGAACGCUGCCACCUAGAGGCGGGCCGUGUUAACACCCAGAUGCUGGUUUCCCUUGCAGCCAUUUUGUUGUGAAUGAAAUCAUCAGCAACGUGUUGAGAGCCAGACAUUUGCUUGGCUGCUGCGAGCUGCCGCUGACGGAGCCCAGGGUGACUGGGCGUCAGCGGCAGCCCGUGACAGCGCUGUGCCGCCGGCGCGUCGUUACCGCUCUGUGCGUGUUCCCUGUGGCGGCGACUGGCUGCACAUGAAAGGCAACGGCAUGAGUUGUUUCCUGUUUUCCUGGCAAUGCUGCGCUUGACUCAGCGCGUGAGCUCACGGGCCGCGGCCGCUUGGUCCCAGUCGGCUCCGUGUCUGAGAGGCCGGUUCGACGCCGCGACCCGGCCGGUGGCCGAGAACAAACCGGGUCAAUGCGAAACCUGAAGCAGAAACCUGAAGUGUCAUUUAUUCACAACUCUGGGAAGAUCUCAUUGACUUUGUAGAUUAACAGCAGCCAAUGAUCCAACAAUGUAAAAACCUGCAUCUAGAGAAUUAAUAUAUGCUCCAGAAGACCAAUGUAUGUAUAACCUAGGCCAUGUUUUUUUAAUGUUAUGCAGUGACUUAUGAUGCAUCUGCUAUAGAAUAUUCCCAUUUGCAGGUUUGCAAAUGAGGCGCUUUAAAAAUAGCAUUAUUAGCAGUCAUCAGUUCCUGCCAAGCCGGUGGAGACAGACACUGAAAUGUGACCCUGGCACUGCAAGUACUUUAGAAAUCCCAGUUGCAUAGCAACGCAUCUCCAUCUGCAGCUAAGCUUCUCUCCAGCAAAGAAACAACUGUCAUUUUUUGCUUUACAGGCAGUUUUAUACAAUAAAACAUCCACAGGGGGAAAAAAACA
rnacentral:lncRNA from 1 species